UACGAAGGGGGCUAGCGUUGCUCGGAAUCACUGGGCGUAAAGGGUGCGUAGGCGGGUCUUUAAGUCAGGGGUGAAAUCCUGGAGCUCAACUCCAGAACUGCCUUUGAUACUGGGGAUCUUGAGUUCGGGAGAGGUGAGUGGAACUGCGAGUGUAGAGGUGAAAUUCGUAGAUAUUCGCAAGAACACCAGUGGCGAAGGCGGCUUACUGGUCCGGAACUGACGCUGAGGAGCGAAAGCAUGGGGAGCGAACAGG
rnacentral:rRNA from 1 species